rnacentral:rRNA from 1 species
UACGUAGGCAGCAAGCGUUGUCCGGAAUUAUUGGGCGUAAAGAGCUCGUAGGCGGUCUGUCGCGUCGGCUGUGAAAACCCGGAGCUCAACUCCGGGCCUGCAGUCGAUACGGGCAGACUGGAGUUCGGCAGGGGAGACUGGAAUUCCUGGUGUAGCGGUGAAAUGCGCAGAUAUCAGGAGGAACACCAGUGGCGAAGGCGGCCGGCUGGGGGCGCCCUGACGCUGAGGCGCGAGAGCGUGGGGAGCAAACCGG